UAAAGACUCAUCGCUGAUAGAUAGGCAUGCGUUCCAUUAGGCAGUUGGCGGGGUAACGGCCCACCAAACCGACGAUGGAUAGGGGUUCUGAGAGGAAGGUCCCCCACAUUGGUACUGAGACACGGACCAAACUCCUACGGGAGGCAGCAGUGAGGAAUAUUGGUCAAUGGGCGUAAGCCUGAACCAGCCAAGUCGCGUGAGGGAUGAAGGUUCUAUGGAUCGUAAACCUCUUUUAUAAGGGAAUAAAGUGCGGGACGUGUCCCGUUUUGUAUGUACCUUAUGAAUAAGGAUCGGCUAACUCCGUGCCAGCAGCCGCGGUAAUACGGAGGAUCCGAGCGUUAUCCGGAUUUAUUGGGUUUAAAGGGUGCGUAGGCGGCCUUUUAAGUCAGCGGUGAAAGUCUGUGGCUCAACCAUAGAAUUGCCGUUGAAACUGGGAGGCUUGAGUAUGUUUGAGGCAGGCGGAAUGCGUGGUGUAGCGGUGAAAUGCUUAGAUAUCACGCAGAACCCCGAUUGCGAAGGCAGCCUGCCAAGCCAUGACUGACGCUGAUGCACGAAAGCGUGGGGAUCAAACAGGAUUAGAUACCCUGGUAGUCCACGCAGUA
rnacentral:rRNA from 1 species